rnacentral:rRNA from 1 species
UACGGAGGGUGCGAGCGUUGUCCGGAAUCACUGGGCGUAAAGCGCGUGUAGGCGGCCCGGUAAGUCCGCUGUGAAAGUCCAGGGCUCAACCCUGGGAUGCCGGUGGAUACUGUCGGGCUCGAGUCCGGAAGAGGCGAGUGGAAUUCCUGGUGUAGCGGUGAAAUGCGCAGAUAUCAGGAGGAACACCAAUGGCGAAGGCAGCUCGCUGGGACGUGACUGACGCUGAGACGCGAAAGCGUGGGGAGCAAACAGG